ACUAUCAACAGGUUCUCCCUUGGGAAAAAAAAUGUAAAACACUCUGCCAGCAGUCAUUUUCAUCCCAAUCACAUGGCUUUCGGGUACGUGUUCUGCUUUUCCACCUCAAUAGUAGUAUCUAACUCUUGUGACGGUUUCUAGUUAAGUGGAAAGCUGAGUCUGUCUUUCUGUCUUUGCAGCCUGUGAUGUACCCAACGACAGAGGACCCUGUGCGGCACUUCAACGUAAAUGCAACAAGCAUCUACACGAGCCCAUUAAUAACAGACAAAGCUCACUUUCAAGCUCGUGAGGAGACAACUUUAGAGGGUCUGAAAAGAUGACAGAGGAGGGUGAACUGGAAGCUGAAUUAGAUGCAAACACCCCCAACUCGAAUCCGGGAGGCUACUACAUGAAUGACGACAUGUAGGAUUUCGUGUCAGGCAACAUCCUUUUAAAAAGGGCUCCC
rnacentral:lncRNA from 1 species